GCGUCCUUAGCUUAGCUGGUUAGAGCAGCAGACUCUUAAUUUGAAGGUCCUCGGUUCGAUCCCGAGAGGACGCA
rnacentral:tRNA from 2 species